rnacentral:rRNA from 1 species
AGUAAAGACCAUCAAAUAAACUAUAACUGUUUUAAUGAGCCAUUCGCAGUUUAGCCGUAUAAAAGCUUAUACUUAGACAUGCAUGGCUUAAUCUUUAAGACAAGCAUAUGACUACUGGCAGGAUCAACCAGGUUAAUAUGUUCCUGAGACAGACCACCUCGAAAACACCAAAAAAACACUCAAUCAACCGUCUAUUUUCCGGCCUCUUUCGUGUUUUAUGGCAUAAACAG